UGGUAAUCUACACACGCAGAACAAUUGGUUCUGCAGGAUUUUCCGGUUAUGCUUGAGUGGAAUAAUUGUCAUCACUUCAAAAAGUAUUACACAUUUCUAAAUCGCAAUUUUCUAUUUCAACUGAUCAAAAUAUUGAAAAUCGGAGAAACCUUUAUAGAUUCUUUAUAUGCUAUGGUGAAUAUUUUUGUCUUAAUUUAACGAAGAGACACAUGUAAUAUU
rnacentral:lncRNA from 1 species